rnacentral:piRNA from 1 species
UCCUGAGCAAUUUCGGGAUAUGCCCUAC